rnacentral:ncRNA from 1 species
UAUUCCGCUGAUACGAAGUUUCGCGGAAAACUUUGUGCUGAAAAAACGUCAUUCUUCCCAAACAUCGAGCUUCUAAACCGUCGUGCUUCCAAAAAUGUUAUGCUUCGAAAACGUCCGUCUCAUCAAUCUAAGAAAACUUCUAACUAUGGUCGAGCAACUUAUUCGACUCAUAGUUCACUCACGUUCACUUCUUCGCCCACAUCGUACUUUAAACCUUCUCGAUCGAUCCUUAUCGCCUGCGACUCGACCACGACAAAGAUACUCGACCAUUCUCUCUCUCUCUUCUUUUUUUUUAACAGGUUUCUACAGUCGGGGGCAUUCGUAUUUUAUAGUCAGAGGUGGAAUUCUUGGAUUUAUGAAAGAGGAACAACUAAGAAAACAUUUGCAAAGGAUGUUUUCAUUAAUGAAGAACGAAAGUUGGGGGCUCGAAGACGAUCAGAUACCGUCCUAGUCUCAACCAUAAAUGAUGCCGACCAGGGAUCAGCGGAUGUUGCUUUUAGGACUCCGCUGGCACCUUAUGAGAAAUCAAAGUUUUUGGGUUCCGGGGGGAGUAUGGUCCCAAGGCUGAAACUUAAAGGAAUUGAUGGAAGGGCACCACCAGGAGUGGAGCCUGCGGCUUAAUUUGACUCAACACGGGGAAACUUACCAGGUCCAGACAUAGUAAGGAUUGACAUACUGAGAGCUCUUUCUUGAUUCUAUGGGUGGUGGUGCAUGGCCGUUCUUAGUUGGUGGAGCAAUUUGUCU